AUUUUUAUAGUGUAAAUAAACACAUAACAUUUUCGUUGUUAUAAUGAUUUUUUUNUAAUCUAAAAAUA
rnacentral:tRNA from 1 species